rnacentral:rRNA from 1 species
GACGAACGCUGGCGGCGUGCUUAACACAUGCAAGUCGAACGGAAAGGCCCUGCUUGCUGGGUACCCGGGUGGCGAACGGGUGAGUAACACGUGGGUGAUCUGCCCAACACUUCGGGAUAAGUCCGGGUAACUGGGUCUAUUACCGGACAGAAGCCAUUUCGAGUUUGGUGGUUCGAAAGUUUUUUCGGUUUAGGAUUAGCUUGCGGCCUAUCCGCUUGUUGGUGGGGUAAUGGGCUAGCAAGGCGGCGACGGGUCGCCGGCCUGAGAGGAUGGCCGGCCACGCCAGGACUGAGAUACGACACAGCCUCGUACCGGACGCAACGGAGGGGAAGAUUGCACAAUGGGAUGGAGCAUGGUGUGACGCAGCCGCGUGGGGUAAGACGGCCAUCGGGUUGGGAAGUCCUUCCGCUUGAGACGAGGCGAUUGUGACGGUACCUAGAGAAGAAGCACCGGCUAACUACGUG